rnacentral:rRNA from 1 species
AAAGGCAGCCCCCUNUAAAAACUGACGCUCAUGUAGGAAGGCGUGGGUAGCAAACAGGAUUAGAUACCCUGGUAGUCCACGCCCUAAACGAUGUCAACUAGCUGUUGGGGCCUUCGGGCCUUAGUAGCGCAGCUAACGCGUGAAGUUGACCGCCUGGGGAGUACGGUCGCAAGAUUAAAACUCAAAGGAAUUGACGGGGACCCGCACAAGCGGUGGAUGAUGUGGAUUAAUUCGAUGCAACGCGAAAAACCUUACCUACCCUUGACAUGUCUGGAAUCCGUUAGAGAUAGAGGAGUGCUCGCAAGAGAACCGGAACACAGGUGCUGCAUGGCUGUCGUCAGCUCGUGUCGUGAGAUGUUGGGUUAAGUCCCGCAACGAGCGCAACCCUUGUCAUUAGUUGCUACGAAAGGGCACUCUAAUGAGACUGCCGGUGACAAACCGGAGGAAGGUGGGGAUGACGUCAAGUCCUCAUGGCCCUUAUGGGUAGGGCUUCACACGUCAUACAAUGGUCGGGACAGAGGGUCGCCAACCCGCGAGGGGGAGCCAAUCCCAGAAACCCGAUCGUAGUCCGGAUUGUAGUCUGCAACUCGACUACAUGAAGUCGGAAUCGCUAGUAAUCGCGGAUCAGCAUGUCGCGGUGAAUACGUUCCCGGGUCUUGUACACACCGCCCGUCACACCAUGGGAGUGGGUUUCACCAGAAGUAGGUAGCCUAACCGUAA